UACAGAGGUCUCAAGCGUUGUUCGGAUUCAUUGGGCGUAAAGCGCGCGUAGGCGGCUGCGCAAGUCGGUUGUGAAACCCCGGGGCUCAACCCCGGAACUGCAUCCGAUACUGCGUGGCUAGAGGUAGGUAGGGGAGAUCGGAAUCCUGGUGUAGCGGUGAAAUGCGCAGAUAUCAGGAGGAACACCGGUGGCGAAGGCGGAUCUCUGGGCCUUACCUGACGCUCAGGCACGAAAGCGUGGGGAGCAAACAGG
rnacentral:rRNA from 1 species